rnacentral:rRNA from 1 species
AUGGCGAUGGCGCUCCACGGGCACGGGAGGAGGGGCAGGCUCGCGGCGGCGCUGUGGCUCGUCGUGGUGGCCACGGCGAGCGUGGCGUCGGCGCGGUUCGUGGUGGAGAAGAACAGCAUCAAGGUGCUGUCGCCGCACUCGCUACGGGGCCGCCACGAGGCCGCCAUCGCCAACUACGGCGUCCCCGACUACGGCGGCACGCUGACCGGCGUGGUGCUGUACCCGGCGGACGCGGGGCAGGCCAACGGGUGCAAGCCGUUCGGGGCGACGGCGUUCAAGUCGCGGUCCGGCCGGCCCGUGGUGCUCCUGGUGGACCGCGGCGGCUGCUACUUCGCGCUCAAGACGUGGCACGCGCAGCAGGCGGGCGCGGCGGCGGUGCUGGUGGCCGAUAGCGUGGAGGAGCCGCUGCUGACCAUGGACACCCCGGAGGAGGAGACCCCCGACAUGGCCUUCCUGGCCAACAUCACCGCCCCCUCCGCGCUCGUCUCCAAGCCCUUCGGCGACGCGCUCCGCGCCGCCGCCUCCGACUCCGGCGGCGCCGAGGUGGUGGUCCGCCUCGACUGGCGCGAGUCGAUGCCGAACCCGGACGCGCGGGUGGAGUACGAGUUCUGGACCAACAGCAACGACGAGUGCGGGCCGCGGUGCGACGAGCAGGCGGCGUUCGUGGCGGCGUUCCGGGGCCACGCGCAGCUGCUGGAGAAGGCCGGCGACGCGCUCUUCACGCCGCACUACAUCACGUGGUUCUGCCCCGACGAGUACCGGGGCACGCGGCAGUGCGCGUCGCAGUGCAUCAACCGCGGCCGCUACUGCGCGCCGGACCCGGAGGGGGACCUGGGCGCCGGCUACCGGGGCCGCGACGUGGUGCUGGAGAACCUCCGGCAGCUGUGCGUGCACCGGGUGGCCAACGCCCGCAACGCGUCGUGGGCGUGGUGGGACUUCGUGGCCGACUACCGCGUGCGGUGCUCCAUGCGGGAGAAGAGGUACUCCCGCGGGUGCGCCGAGGAGGUGGUGGCGUCGCUGGGCCUGCCGGCGGAGCUGAUCGACAAGUGCAUGGGCGACCCCGACGCCGACGCCGACAACGACGUGCUCCGGACGGAGCAGGUCGUGCAGGUCGGGCAGGGGGAUCGAGGCGACGUCACCAUCCUGCCCACGCUGGUCAUCAACAACGUGCAGUACCGGGGGAAGCUGGAGAGCACGGCCGUCCUCAAGGCGAUCUGCGCCGGUUUCAAGGAGACCACCGAGCCCCGUGUGUGCAUGACACAAGACAUGGAGACCGACGAGUGCCUGCACAACAACGGCGGCUGCUGGCGCGACGACAAGACCAACAUCACCGCCUGCAAGGACACGUACAGGGGGAGGGUGUGCGAGUGCCCGGCGGUGGACGGCGUGCAGUACGAGGGCAACGGGUACAAGGAGUGCAAGCCCGUCGGCCCCGGCCGGUGCGCCGCCAACAACGGCGGGUGCUGGAAGGAGACAAGGCACGGCAAGACCUUCUCCGCCUGCAAGGGCUCCGGGUCGCUCAGCGGCUGCGAGUGCCCGCCGGGGUUCAAGGGCGACGGCCUCACCUGCGAAGACGUGGACGAGUGCAGCGAGAAGGUGGCGUGCACCUGCCCGGGCUGCUCCUGCAAGAACAACUGGGGCGGGUACCACUGCAGCUGCGGCGGCGGCGGCAACCAGGUGUACAUCCAGGCCGAGGACACCUGCGUGGGGAAGAGCGCGGCGGCGAUGGGGUGGAUGGUGACGGCGCUGGUGCUGUCGUGCCUCGCCGGCGCCGGGCUCGCCGGGUUCGCCUUCUACAAGUACAGGCUCAGGCGGUACAUGGACUCGGAGGUGGCGGCGAUCAUGUCGCAGUACAUGCCUCUGGAGAGCCAGAGCAGCAGCGGCGAGAACCGGCCGCUGAGGGAGGAGGCCGUGGAAGCAGCAUAG